CCCACACUCUGGUUCAAACACAGAUCACAGCCCACCCGGGGCUUCCUAGGACCAACUAUGCCACCACGGUGAACCUCCAGGUCGCCUGUAGCGGAAGGAUCACCUUCUACAGCACGGCCCGGGUCAGCCUAGACCAGAACCCCUAACGUUCCGAUCAGCCUGGACCAGAACCCCUAAAGUUCCGGUCAGCAUGGACCAGAACCCCUAACCCUCCAGUCAGCCUGGAUCAGAACCCCUAACCCUCCAUCAGCCUAGACCAGAACCCCUAACCCUCCAUCAGCCUAGACCAGAACCCCUAACCCUCCGGUCAGCCUGGACCAGAACCCCUAACCCUCCAUCAGCCUAGACCAGAACCCCUAACCCUCCAUCAGCCUAGACCAGAACCCCUAAUGUUCCGGUCAGCCUGGACCAGAACCCCUAACCCUCCAUCAGCCUAGACCAGAACCCUUAACCCUCCAUCAGCCUGGACCAGAACCCUUAACCCUCCAGUCAGCCUGGACCACCAGAACCCCUAACCCUCCGGUCAGCCUGGACCACCAGAACCCCUAACCCUCCGGUCAGCCUGGACCAGAACCCCUAACCCACCAUCAGCCUGAACCAGAUUCCCUUACCCUAAACCUUAAUAUUUAAAACAUGUCCGAUUUUUUUGUAUUUCAUGCCCUUUAAAGAAACCUAACACAUUUAUAUCUAAAGCAUCUUGCAGACUGAUGCCAACAGUGUCGUGGUGCAGUGGUGCAUCUUCUCAUUCUUCAGGCCCGGUCCCUUUCUACCUGUGACAGACCCGUUACGUGACCCUGAUGCUGUUAACAUGAACUGAUAACAUGGCAGCCUACACGUAACUUGGCUUGGACUGAAAGGUUGGCAUCAGAUCCUUCACCACUACCUCCUGGGGCCAAGAAACCUCCUCCUCCUCCCCCCCACACUGUGUCACACUCCCUGGCUACUCCUCUUCCUCCUCAUCCUCCUCAUCCACCUUCUUCACACACCCCUCAGUUAUUGUUUUCCAGCAGCCAUCCACUAAGCCUUCACCCAAUCUCUCUCUCCUCUUCCAACCCCUCAUCCUUCUCCAACCCCUUUACCCUCCAUCCUGAACCCUUUAACCCCUUUAGUCACUCUGGACCAGAACCCCUUACCCUCCAAUCUGCCUGGCCCAUCUACACUCCCUCACUCUCCCCUGCUCCUUAUAUUCCUCUUCAUCCAACUUCCUCACACAGCCCUCGGUUAAUGGUUUCCAGCAGGCUUCCAGUAAGCCUCCACUCCUCCUACACUCCCUCCUCCUCAAACCCCCUAAAACCCCUUUAUACUCCAUCCAACCCUUGCAUCAACCUCUUCCUCACCAGUCCUCAGUUAAUAUACUCAGACAGCAUUCCAGGAAGCCUGGGUGGGCGGGGUUUUUGCUGCCUGGAUUGCAUCAUGGAAUGUUUUAUUGCGAGACAACCUAUUGUUUUUAGAAAUAUUUUCUUCUGGUUUCGUAACUGCUAAACAUUGGGAAUGUGGUUGUUUAUGGGUCUAAUCUUGUUUCUGGCACUUAAUAUGCUUUUUAUACACACUACCAUAUGUUGUUAAUGCCAGUCUGUGUCUGCAGCACUGGCUGACUGUACAUGUGUUUAUGUGUUUAUGUGUGUGUGUGUGUGUUUGUCGUUCUUUAUACUUCAGUAGAAUCUGAUCCGUCUGCUUUGAAAUUUAUCAGAUAUGUUGUUCCUUAGAAAUUAUUUAAACCUUGUUUGGACCUGGUUUGAAGAUGAUUUAGACCUGGUAUGUAUCUGUUUUGAAAUUGGUCUAGACCUGGUUCGGUGACAGAUGGGAUCACCUUAUUGCAGACCAACUAAGUCCAACGUCAACUUAAAUAAAUAUAUAUAAUAAAGAAAU
ensembl:lncRNA